CCCAGGCGACAGUUUCCUGUCCUAACACCCGUACUUUCCAUGACACAAGAGGAAGUCAGCUGAGCCGGCUGGGUUUUCCAUGCCGCUGCUAGGUGGAGGCCGAGGUGGGGGAGGGGAGUGAGCCCCCUAGGCCAGUGUCAGAUCCUCAGCGGCCUCCGCGGGACAGACUCGUACCCGUAUUGUCGGGGCUUCACCAGGCUAGAAGGGGACGCUGGGUCCCCAGAAGCUGAACUUACAUGUGGCUGUGAGUCUCUCGAUGAAAGUUCUGGGAGCGUCACUUAGAUCCUCUAGAAGAACAGAAGGUUUUCAUGACCAUUGAACACCUCCCCAGCCCCUGCCUGCUUAAAGUGGAUGCAUUUUAUUGGAUUCUUGAAAAUAUGACAUUGGACGAGAGUUAUGAAUCACAUCCUGCUUCAGCAAACCUUCGACAAGAUGAGGCAAUGUAGAAAACAGUCUUGCAAUGCGAAGGCGGGCCUAUGUGCUGCCAGUCAUUGCCGGAGACCAGGGCCGUGUGUCCUUCAGCAGCAGCUUCUGUGGUUCCAUAAGGCGGAGAAAAAGGAGACCGAUGACCACAUCUACGUGAUUCGAACUCUUGUUUUUAGAGUCCUAGAUAAAUUGAGUUAGAACAAGUGUUAUUGCAUGGACUUCAGUGAUGGCUUCUUAUGGUCCAAGGGCAGAAUCAGCUGCCUGCCUCAGUGUCUGUGUAGCCAUCAAAUCCUAAGUGUUUACUAGUCAUGUGGCCCUGCUCUUGACCAGUGGCUAAAUCUGGAAAAGUAUAUCAUUUGGACAAUGAGAUCUUUGGACUGUGUUUCAGCUCUCAGAAUUUAAGAACUCCAAGAAAGCAAUUCAUGACUGGUACCUUCCAGGAGAAGCCAUCUUUUAAAAAGACUCUUGAGAAGGCAGGCAUCUUAAUGAAGAAGAACCAGGUGCUAAUGGCAGCUCAGUAAGCAGUGUGGUUGGCUGUGGACAUUUCAUUGAAGGCACUGUUCCUGGAACCAGCGGCUUCAGUGUUUGUGACGGACAGACAAAAGUUUGUGUAAAUCCAUCUGCUCACUUACAAGCACCUACCGUUAUCCCUAGAUGCCUUGCAUAGCCCUUUCCUGGAUUACAAGCUUCCUGGACCCAUAGAUGUCUCAAGGAAGGCCAUGCACAGCCAACUGGGAGAAUGCUAUAUCCAUGGCAGCCUCACCCUGGCACAAGGCUUGAGGACUGUGGUGGUCACCUACUCUGUGCUCAACCUGGGCAAUUUAAUGAGACUCUGACUCCAAAAACAUAAAAAUUUUUAAAAGUGAAGGAAAGGCUAUGCUUGUCUGGUAUGGGUGGGGCCAUGGGUUUGUCCUCAGCAUUGCAAUACCAAAGUUCAUCUAUAGAUCAGAUUGGCCUCUGGAUGGCCAGUUUGGGGCCUGAGAGAGGGGAAAGCCUCUACUGUAGACUCAUGUCUUAGCCAUAGUGUGAAUCUCUCAGCAUCAGUGACUUCAUCUCCAAAGUGGGGCAAGGUCCUGGGCUUUGUCUGCAAUCCUUAGGCCUUAAUCUCUCCUUUUAGUGAGUGGAGAGGGUUAUGUGUUCGAGGGCCAGUCCUUACAACACUGCUUCCCUCUUGGUCAGGCAGCUUAGUAAUCGUUUCUGAUGAUGCUGAGGUCGAGUUGGGUCUGGUCGAUAUAAAGUCCUGAUGGCAGCUCCAUCCUUCAGUCAUGCCUGGAAGUGAGGGCUGGACCACCUGGGUUGUGUGCCAAUGAGUGCUCUCCCCUUGACUGCAUAGAUGCUGCCAAAUGUCCCUUUGCAACUCCCCACCCCCAAGGAAGCCUCUCAGACCGGAGGUGUACUGCACCUACAGAUCCAGAUCCUGGGGAGGGGGUGGCUGCUGAGAUGGUGGUGACGAUAAACUUGUUGCACAAAGCAUAAAGCUUUGCUUUCUGGUUUUUGUGUG
ensembl:lncRNA